GUGUGUAUGGUGUAAACAACACGCUAGCUUUUCAUGCUAAAAAUAUACUAGGUAUUACACAC
rnacentral:tRNA from 1 species